CAUCUUGUCGCAAAGUAUGACGUCAAACCCUCAAGUCACAGUUCUCCACGCAAACUCCUCGACAAGUAGCCUAGCAAGAAACAGAUAUUACAGGCGUUUUAGUUUCUCGUGUGUAUAUCGCUUGCUACCUUAACGUCUUUAAAUUACUAUAAUUUAUUAAGUUACCCUCUGCCUUUGUAGAUAACUAGCUUACCUUAGGUCUCUCCGUCGACUAGAAGCAAGGAUGGUUCUGUGCUAUGUAACGUUACCGGAUUGUAACCACUACUCCAAUAAGCACAUGUACAUUAUCGUUUUCCAACCUCAGAGGCAUCGCUAGAGCUGUGUGAUAAGAUGGACGGACCGGAAACCCAGUGACAACACUCAAGUCUGUAACUGCCAUUUUCCAGUGGGAAAGAGAGAUGGCGCUGUAUUUACCAGAGUAGGUAGUUCAUCCAUCAUGGUGAAUGAGGAAGAUCCAGGGGGUGUAUUGGGAAACAACAACAGACAAAUAGGAUUGAGUGUCCAACAGGAGUGAAUCCCUCAGGCUAUCCGGUGCAUGGACAUCCUGCGGCAGUGUGAUCCGGUUGUGGAGACGACAGCAGAUUGAGCCUGUGGACAGACAGAUGCAUCAACAUUUGGACUUUGUCCCCUUUUCCUGGUGUUGUGGAACAUCAUGCGCUCACCGUGAGAAGCAGUGCAUGAUCAACACCAGCCUCAGCAAGGAGAUGUGACACGUGGAACAUCAGGCGCUCACCAUGAGAAGCAGUGCAUGAUCAACACCAGCCUCAGCAAGGAGAUGUGACACGUGGAACAUCAGGCGCUCACCAUGAGAAGCAGUGCAUGAUCAACACCAGCCUCAGCAAGGAGAUGUGACACGUGGAACAUCAGGCGCUCACCAUGAGAAGCAGUGCAUGAUCAACACCAGCCUCAGCAAGGAGAUCUUGUCACAGCUGUUGGAGGAGGACCAAGGUGCAACGUGCCAGGAUGCCUGCACGCCCCAGGUGCCCUUGUUUUUUAAACAAUAUCAGGCACAGACAGGGAUGACAGGGAGGGUAGCGAUUGUUCUGGCUCAGGUUCAACAAGACAUACCAUUCCAUUGAACCUGCCCCGGUGAUGGUUCCUUACCCACUAACGAUCUCGUGACAGACGGUUGUAGUCUUUGGCCAGGUAAAGUUCCAUUGACUGCACCUGGUUGGGCACGGCUGGCUUCCUCCACUCCCAUUCUACAUCCGUAUGGCCGAUAUUGUGAACUGCUAAAAAGGCUGCAUGGCUCCACUUUUGAGCUCCAUGGAGCCAUUCGUAUGGGGUAGAGAGAAUUAUUGAUUACAUUAUAGCUGUAGUAUAUAUAUUUACAUUUACAACUUGGGAUUUUAUUAUUUAACAUACCCAAUCAUUUAAUGGGAAGGAUCCUAUAAAUCAAGACUGAAUGCAUGUAUCACUGAAUAACUAAAUACUGUGUCUUUGAAGAUUUGUCUCUGGUAAAUUACAAUACAUACUGGGUGUCUAAACUAAGUCUAAACUAAGUACAUACAUAUAUAUUUUAGAUUCAUUCUCAUCAAUGACAACAUUCUAUAACUGAGUUUUCAGUUACAGGGUAAUCUGGUUAAUGAUUAUAUCAUUGUGCUUCUACACCUGCAUUGCUUGCUGUUUGGGGUUUUAGGCUGGGUUUCUGUACAGCACUUUGAGAUAUCAGCUGAUGUACGAAGGGCUAUAUAAAUACAUUUGAUUUAAUCAUUGGCUCUUUGUAGAAUGUUGACAGCUGUAUAGAACACACUGUUUAUAAGUUGCUCAAAAUUAACUUAAUAGCUACACUCACUGACACAAGAAACGUCAUCCCUCAUGUUGGCCCUGAUCAAACCGGUAAACUGCACUUCUGCACUUUGUCCUUUAUUUAAACAGGGAACCACAUUGAGAUUAAAAAUCUACUUUUUACAAGAGAGCCCUGUACACAUUACAAUAAAAACAUACAUGUGUAUAAAACAAUAUAAUUCACAAUUAACAAAAAUAAUAAAAGCAAACACAUUCAACUACAUAGAGGAUCUCAAUCAAUAUUGUAAACUGUCUGAGUGACACCAGCACAUCUCACUGUAGUGAACUCUGCUGAUUGUUCCAGAAAUUGGGCAAAAAACUAAAUGCGGGUUUUCCUAAAUCUGUGGAAACAAGGGAUCUCUAAUGUUAUCCAUUCCUGUGAACGAGUUUGGUAACUUAUGAUUCUAGACUUAAUUAAUACAUUUGCAUAUAGAGGGAGUUUUGUCAGAUUGCUUUGUAAAUAAAUAAGAGAAUGCAGCUCUCUUCUUACAGAGGUCCAUCCCACGUUUUAUAUACGGACUACAAUGAUGAGUCCUAAAAUUGUCCCCUGUGAUAAAAAGUUUUGCUGAAUGGUAGACUGCGUCCCGAUGGAUUUUAAACAGAGGUUGCCGCAUGCAUGUUAACAAUAUCACCAAAAAUCCAAUAGAGGGAGAAGCGUUUCUUGAACAACCUUUCUCCUGUUUUUAAUACUAAGGCAUGAUUUAUUUCUAUAUACAAAAAUAAAAGUCCUGGAUCUUAGCUUCUUAGGAUAACAUGUCAUCAUUAGGAUAACUUGUCAUCAAGCCAGGCACCCAGGUACUUAUAUUGAGAAACAAGCUCCAUUUAUAGCGCACAUAUGCAGGUCAACAUUUUGUGACCAAGAGAACAGCAUGAGCUUGUUUUUACUUUUAUUUAACACUAAUUUUAAGAUCUGUAAGUGAUUUCUGAAUUGAUUUCAAAGUCAUGCUGAAGUUCACGAAUGACCUGCUGCACAGAGGCGCAGCACAGGAAUACAAAAUUGUCAUCUGCUUGUCAUUAAUAUACAAAGUGCACAACAAAGACUGUGGUCUUCCACACAGUCUUGAAGACCAUAUGGCCAUACUUAGUGGUCUUCUCCCCUUUAAAUGCCAUAAGGUCUGACAUGGACACCAUUGUCAACAUACUUUACAAACAAUUAUCUAGGCUAAGUAAAACAACCAUUUUUUUUUUUUGGCCGAGCUAAGACAGCGAAAUGGAACGUAAGAGGUUAAUGGAUUGGACACAGACCUACUGUGCAGACAAUUAUCUAGACUAAAUAAAACAAUGCUUUAAAAAAAUGUAUUUACUGCGCUGCUAAUUAGCUAGCUAAAGUAUAGUUGCUAGCUAAGACAGAAAAGGGACAAGAAUUUCACAAAUUGGACACAGGUCUCAGUGUCAGCUAAAGAUGUCAUGCAGAAAUUUGUCUUUGUUGCUAAUUUAGCAUUAAUACUUUUUUUGGAGUAAAUUGAGGCAAAUUUACUGAUACAACUCACCUGGUCUGAGAAUUACAUGGUUAUCAAAAUGUAUUUUUUAUUUUAUUUUUUUAAAUUUUACCUUUAUUUAACCAGGCAGUUAAGAACAGAUUCUUAUUUUCAAUGGGAAAAUAGUGGCCUGGGAACAGUGGGUUAACUGCCUGUUCAGGAGCAGAACGACAGAUUUGUACCUUGUCAGCUCGGGGGUUUGAACUCACAACCUUCCGGUUACUAGUCCAACGCUCUAACAACUAGGCUACGCUGCCGCCCCGAGCUGACAAGGUACAAAAAAAAAUGUUGUGCCAGCAGACCUCUUAUAUGAAGUAGUUCUAAAAAUCUAAGAUGCAAAAAUGUAUUAUGAAUAAAAUUGUAGGAACCGUUACUGGGUUUUACCGCUAUUUCAUACCACCAACUAACCCUACACCUACAGUCAAAAGUUUGGACACACCUACUCAUUCAAAAGGUUUUUCUAUUGUUAGUUCCCAGAUAUGCUAAGCACUUGUUGGCUGCUUGUCCUUCACUCUGCGGUCCAACUCAUCCCAAACCAUCUCAGUUGGGUUUUAAGUUGUGAUUUGUGGAGGCCAGGUCAUCUGAUGCAGCGCUCUAACACUCUCCUCCUGGUCAAAUAGCCUUUAUACAGCCUGGGGGUGUGUUUUGGGUUAUUGUCCUGUUGAAAAACAAAUGAGCGUCCGACGAAGUGCAAACCAGAUGGGAUGGCGUAUCGCUGUAGAAUGCUGUGAUAGCCAUGCUGGUUAAGCGUGCCUUGCAUUCUGAAUUAAUCAGUGUCACCAGCAAAGCAUACCAUCACACCUCUUCCAUGCCCCUGUAUAUUUAUUUUUUAUUUAACCUUUUAUUUAACUAGGCAAGUCAGUUCAGAACGAAUUCUUAUUUACAAUGAUGGCCUCCUUACUGUUGUUUUGUUGCUCUUUAAUAUUUUUUUUAACAUUUUCAGUUUAUUUGAGUAAAUACUUAAAACCUCUCUGGGAUAGGCGGGACGCAAAUGUCCGACGUGGCCAAUUGCCAGGGACAAUGCAGAGCACCAAAUACAAUACUAUAAAAUUCAAGCUUUCAUUAAAUCACACAUGUAAGAUACCAAAUUAAAGCCACACUCGUUGUGAAUCCAGCCAACAUGUCAGAUUUCAAAAAGGCUUUUCAGCGAAAGCUGACGCACAAUUGGCCCAGUGUUGUCUGGGUUAACUAACUUUCCUAGUUAACUUUAAGGUAAAAAAUUUUUUUUAAAUAAUAAUACAAAAAAUACAUCAGGACACCCUCAGUUCAACCUUCCCCUUAACAAAUCCACCUUGCACUGGUCAAGAAUCCUGCAUAAAAAGAUUUUGUCUAGCCUGUUAUUAAACAAAUUCUACUAAUCACCUUUUGAGUGUGGGCAGUAUUAUUAUGCAUACUAGAUGGACUGGUUACCUUAUUCUAUGCUUCAAAAGUUCCAUUCAUGAGUCUAGGAGAAAACGUGUAGGCCUAGACGAUGCUGUUGGUUCAUUGAUUGUGCAGGGUGGCUAUGCCUACAAUUUAUAGUGGAUUUGACUUUGAAUAGACUCGUAAUAUGGAUUAUACUUUUUCAUAGGCUGACACAUUACCUUUUGCUACAGAAUAUCUCACCACCAUACAUUUCCAUAUUUUCUUCUCUCUCCUUCAUUCCUUUCCCCAGUGCACAGAGAGAGGUUCUGGCAACAGUUUAAUGAAAUAUUUUUUGUUGUGAAAACAUGUUACUAUCGAUGUUCUCGCACAGAGUUCACUAGCUUUACCAAAUUAUGCACUAGGUAAAUUCAGAAGCGGGGUUGCAGAGCCCAUGGAAUACAGAGUUAGGGCAGAAUAUCAACUCUUAUCUUCACAUUACCAAGACCUUAUCAGCUCUCAAAAACCUAAAGUGAAGACUGGGGGUCAGUCUGAUGAACCAAACUACCCAUUAAUCCCCUCCAUGUAGUCUAAUUCUCCACACACACACACAAUCAAUACGAUAUCUAUUGUAUACUUAUAAUUCAUGUAGAAUUAUAAGUAAUAUUCCUUAACUGAUUGAACAGUAAUGUGAAUUUCACAUAUGCCCUUUUUGGCUUUGAACCUCACCUGCUGUCACGUAUAGGCAGGUGAGGAAGGAGACUUUUUAAUAACAAUGAUGAAAGGCAAAUGAACAAAACAGGAGAAGCGUACUGAACCUGAAAACAAACCAGUAGUGCUUGGCGAUUGCGGGCUAAAUAAAAGAAAGCUAAUCAAGGUGAUGAAGUCCAGGUGUGUGUAAUGAUGGUUGCCAGGACCGGUGGUUAGUAGACCCAGCAAUGUUGAAGGCGGGAGCGGGAGAAGGUGUGACAUUUUUUUUUUAUAUAUAUGUACUGUUUUGUCUUUCACUGCAUGCUCCUCAAAUAGUGGCCUCCUUUCACUAUUCAAGUGCAUAUGGAUGAGAUGUCUUUAUUCCCCUGCCCCUAUUUCUGACCGAUGGGUCAUUCUAAAUCUAUACUAAUUUGACAUAUUAGACUGAGGCAAGCAACACAGCUCAAGCUUUUUCCCCCUUUUUUUCCCCCCUACUUUCUCAAAUCCUCAAUAACCUAUAGUUGCAUCAUGCAGCCCAUAGGUUUUGAUUUCUAAGACAUUCUAACUAAAGUUGCCAAAUAACUCUUAAGUCUAGCGUAUAGGACCUGUUUCAAAGUAUCCCUUUUACGCUCAACAUAGCCAAUUGCUCCGGAAUGGGAAAAAUAUCCUUUCUAUUGUAUUCAGCUAAGUUCAAUUACAUUCUUCUUACUAUAAAAUAAUGCCACGGGACUUAUAAGCAUAUCUUGUCUGCUAAAUGAACACGCUUAGAGCCUGUGGCAUGGCGCACAGACAGAUGACAUACAGUAGGCAAACUCCUAUUCUGUUCUUUCUUUAUUGUGAGGGUGUAUAUUAAAUUGAUUUAUUCAACUUUUUUAAAGUGUAUGUUCCAGCAUUUUGUAUGGGUUUGGCCAGGUUAGGGUGUCAUUGUAAAUAAGAAUUUAUUUUAUUUUUACAUCUUUAUUUAACUAGGCAAGUCAGUUAAGAACAAAAAUCUUAUUUUCAAUGACGGCCUGGGAACAGUGGGUUAACUGCCUGUUCAGGGGCAGAACGACAGAUUUGUACCUUGUCAGCUCGGGAUAUGAACUUUCAACCUUUCGGUUACUAGUCCAACGCUCUAGCCACUAGGCUACCCUUAACUGACUUGCCUAUUUAUAUAAAAUGCAUCGAGGCCUAGAGAUGCUAAAUGUGUUAAUAUCAACGGUCAAUUACUGUGAGACCAGCAGUCUUUGGCAUGACAACCGGCUGACAAAAUGUCAUGACAGCCACAGCCCUAACCCGGGUUCACUUUGCAUGUUUAUGCUGUACUGGGGCCUUAUUAGGUCCCCGGAGGAAAGCGUUUGUGUCUCUCCAACACCUUUAAUUGGUAGAAUUCCUUAGAGUUUUGAACCUCAUUGUUCCAGAGCCUUGCAAACAGGUAAUAGCAGGACCCUCUGGUGUCAGAAACUUAACCAAGUAAAACUAACAUCAUUAAAGAGUUGUCCACUUACCCUGUAGAGACAAUAUAGUCCCAGUGACAUCAGUCACCGAGCACAGAUAGAGUUUUGCUGAUGUAAGAUGCUCUUUAGGAAUCAUGCAGACUAAAGUGGAUCAUAUAUUUGAUAUAUUUUUUUGUCAUCUAGCAAAUUCUCUUACCCAGAGUGACAUACAGGAGCAAUUAGGGUUGAGGGCCUUGCUCAAGAGAACAUUUUUCACCUAGGCUCAGUGAUUUGAACCAGUGACCUUGGUUCAAAUCCCUGGCCCAACAUUUUAACUGCUAGAAUAUCUGCUGCCCGAUUUUGAGUUUUUUUAAUUAAUCUUAUUUAUGUUAUUUAUUUUAUGUUCAUGUUCAUAGGGCUCCCCUGCAAAUGAGAUCCUGGUCUCAAUGGUGACUCACCCUGUUUGUGUCUGACACCUUUCAUUGGUAGAGUGAUAUGUGUCAUUAUGACAGAGCCCUGCAUGUUUUGAAUAUGUACAUGUGACUUGUGUACAAACGUUACAGUUUUCCAUACGUCAUGUAAUAUUAUUGUGUUGUGUAUUUGUAUGCCGACGUCUCUAAAUUAAUUUCCAUGUAAAUGGACAACACAGUAUACAGUAGUGUUGUACUCUCAAAACCCUCUGGAAUCUGAUGGAACAACAAACUAUAUGUAAAAUAAAAAAAUCGGCUUAUAUUGGU